GAAUUUUGAAAGAUGAUGAAAAAUUAAAAAAUGAUGAGAAGCAUGUACAUGGAAAUAUGGAGGGAAAGGAAAAUAAUAUGAAGCAUUUGAAAUAAAAGCCUUCGCCAGGAAUCGAUCCUUGGGCAAAUUUGAAAUGAAUUAGGCGCCAAGCAUGAAACGCCGCGUUUCAUUUAAACGCUGGCUUUGGUCAACACCGGUCAACACGCAUGGACCAAUGGGAGCGCUGCAUGGGAUUUGCAUGGACCAAUCUCAA
rnacentral:lncRNA from 1 species